AUUGAACGCUGGCGGCAGGCCUAACACAUGCAAGUCGAACGAGCGGCGGACGGGUGAGUAAUGUCUGGGAAACUGCCCGAUGGAGGGGGAUAACUACUGGAAACGGUAGCUAAUACCGCAUACCAUCAGAUGUGCCCAUAUGGGAUUAGCUUGUUGGUGGGGUAACGGCUCACCAAGGCGACGAUCCCUAGCUGGUCUGAGAGGAUGAUCAACCCCACUGGAACUGAGGAACGGGCCAGACUCCUACGGGAGGCAGCAGGGGGGAAUAUUGCACAAUGGGCGCAAGCCUGAAUCAGGCAUGCCGCGUGUAUGAAGGAGGCCUUCGGGUUGUAAAAUACUUUCAGCGGGGAGGCGUUACCCGCAGAAGAAGCACCGGCUAACUCCGUGCCAGCAGCCGCGGUAAUUC
rnacentral:rRNA from 1 species